AUCUAGCUUUAUGGCUAAUGAAAAGUUGCUGAGUUCUUGAAACAGAGAAGAAAACCACACGUAUACAGGCCACAAGGAACUUGGCAGAAAAGGGCAUCUUUCGUACACAUUUCCAGAGUGCACUGAUUCCUAAAAGUAAACGGGGUUGUAAGCAGAGUUUGCCACUGUGGAAGCAGUCUGUCCCUCUGUGAGCCCUCAUCAAGAAAUGUAUCUGAAUAGCAAAACAAACCUGACUACACCAAAAUUAUCAAAAGUUCUGUGGAAGAAGACAGUCCUUUCACUUUCCUGCUUUCCCGCUAACUUUCCUGCUGUUUCCUCGCUUUGCAAAGAUGCUGGUUACAUACGUG